rnacentral:misc_RNA from 1 species
AAAUGUACUUUGUUUACAUAUCGCAGGGAAUGGUUUAGCAUAUUAAACCUCCCGUUUAGGUGAAUCCUCGCUAAUUUUGCGAGAUAAAUGUAGAGUAAAGAAUAUUUAAACUACUAAAGGAGACCAUCAACUUUAUAUAUUUCAUCAGAAAGAGGCGAACAGUGGAAAAAAGGGAAAAAACGAAGACAAACUGGGAGUCCAGAGGAGCAACAUGCCAGUGGCCGAGGUUUACUUCGUUCAACAUCUGCCCGUUUACGAUUUGCCGUAUACUGAACAUGAACUGUGGAGAUUGUUAUAACUGGGGUUUGGGUGGUGAUAUCACUUAGAAAGAAAAGGAGGGUAUGGCAUUGAAGAUGUCACUGCGGCGCUUGCGCAUCAUUGUCUGUGCAAUGAUCCAGUCACGUCGUGCAAGACGUCAUCUAAGAUUCAUGCGGAGGACUUGUUGUAGUGGGACUAUGGCAAUUAUCAUAUUGACCAUGUUAUUGCUGUUGGCCGCCAUAUAUACAGCACGUUUGCCUACCAAAGAACAACUGCAUCUGAAUUAUAUUGCAGAGAGCCUUGAUGUGAAAUACUAUCUGAUACAAAAUUCAAAAAAGGAGUAUAUGGCAUUAACAAACACUGGAGAUCAACCCAUGAAUUUGACAAAUGUGGAACUCUAUUUUUAUCACAUGUUGAGAAAAAUUCAUCUUGAUUCCAAGUUUGAUGGUAUAGCCAUGGAGCUACAUCAUGUAGAUGGGUCCCUGUUUCGUCUUCGCUUUUCAAAAAAUACAACAACACAGGUGCUGCAAUCACAGGAAAAAUUGGUGGUUUCUUUGAAAUCUUCAAUUUCCACUUGGGCACGUUCUGAUGUAUCACCUAACUGGUACAUCACGUCGCCAGGGUGUACACCUGUGCUUCUUCACUGCACUGUGGGGGAGGAUCUGAACUUUGCCAAAUACUUUUGGGAAGACAGCAGUGGCAUUUCAGAUGCUACCAGAUUGAGCAUGCACUACAGUAAAGCAGUGGAAAGAUACAAUAAUAACAAAAAUUUGAAACGAUUUGAGAUUCCACCACUGUAUGUUAUUCCAACCCCUGUGGAGAUAGUGGCUGAUCACACCAAGCCACUGAACAUACGGACCAAUGACUGGGUGGUGGUGGCAGAUGCUGGUCUAGAAGAGGGCCUUCCUAGAAGAAUGCUCCUUCCUCUGUCACAAGAUGAUCCAGGCAAGAAAGUCAUACGCAUCAGACAGGGCCCAGUUGAUGUCAUUAUACAGGGGAAGGCAAUACACAGCAAAGAAGCAUACAGAAUUGAUGUCAGUGCACAAGAUGAGCGAAUUGAGGUCACAUCUCCAUCAACUGCUGGGGUUUUUUAUGCUAUGCAGACCAUAUAUUCAACUAUGGAUGAACAAGGGAAUAUUCCACAGUUAAAAGUCCAAGAUGCACCAAGGUUUUCUUAUCGAGGAACACACAUUGAUGUAUCACGGAAUUUUUUCCAAAAGGAUGUCAUUCUAAGGACGCUGCAGGCUAUGUCUAAGUAUAAGAUGAAUAAGUUACACUUCCAUUUGUCAGAUGAUGAGGGUUGGAGACUGGAGAUUCCAGGUCUUCCAGAAUUAACUGAGAUUGGAGCCAGGCGUUGCCAUGAUCCUACCAAAGUUGCAUGCCUUAUGCCACAACUUGGAUCUGGUCCUGAAGCUACGGGUCUUGGAAGUGGUUUUUACACAACCUCAGAUUAUCAGGAAAUUCUAGACUAUGCUGCUCAUCGCCAUAUUGAAAUCAUCCCAGAAUUUGAUAUGCCAGCUCAUGCACAUGCUGCCAUCCAGUCAAUGUUAUUAAGAUAUGACAAAUACAUAUCAAAAGAUCCCCAAAAAGCUUCAAAAUACCUGCUCAAUGACUUUAAUGAUGACUCAGAAUUCUCUUCAGUGCAGCUAUUUACAGAAAACGUUAUGAACCCAUGCCUUAGCUCCACAUAUGUCUUUAUUGAGCAUGUGAUUAAAUCUGUGAUAGACUUACACAAGGGACAUAACUCUCUCAAGACUAUACAUUUAGGAGGUGAUGAGGUACCUCGGGGCGCAUGGGAGAAGUCAACUGUCUGUAUGCAGAUGGGGAAAUCAAGAGAAGAACUCAGGCAGAUGUUUGCUGAGAAAAUUAUUAAUAUAACAGCAAAGUAUCAAGUAGAUGUAAUAUUAUGGGAUGCAAUCAAGAAAAGUGACAAAGACAUUGUCCACAAGGACCAGUAUAACAUGCCAGACAAUCAAAUCAGCAUAAAUGUGUGGGACAUAGGGCAUUCAGGCCAGGAUAUAGCUCAUGUACUUCUCAAAAAAGGAUAUAAGGUCAUCUUGUCAAAUGCAAACUAUCUCUAUUUUGACCACCCCCAAAUUCAAGAUCCAGAAGAGCGUGGUCUUUACUGGGCUUCGCGGUCUAUAUCCUUGGAGCAUGUGUUCAAGUAUAGGCCUCUUUGCGGAGGGUACCAGGAAAAGUGUAAGCUAGUGGAUCAGUCUGAGAACAUUUUGGGAAUACAAAGUCAAUUAUGGACAGAAACUAUACGUAGUGCAGAUCAGUUUUACUAUAUGCUGUUUCCACGGUUACUGGCAGUGGCUGAGAGGUCAUGGCAUCAGGCUCCCUGGGAGACAGAUGACACAAAGGCUGACCUCAUGCAAGAAGAUUGGGAGAAGUUUGCGAGCACCCUCGGACUCAAGGAAUUAUCUGAACUUGAUUCUUUGGGCAUUUGGUAUCGUUUGCCUUUACCAGGAGCUGUUUUCAGCAAAGAUGGCACCUUAUCAGCCAACUGUGAGAUCCCUGGAUUUGAUAUCAUGUACAGUGUGGACUUUGGGCAAACAUGGAAGGUAUUUCAUUCAGGAAUGGUGUUUCAUAAAGACAGUGGUCAUAUUGACAGCAAUGAUAACAGAGAAGUAUGGCUGGCUAUAAGGAGUCACACUCUGAAGAGGGCCAGUGAUUUUGUGAGAUUGAACUUUCACACCAAUGAGGAACAGAAGCUCAAACUAAUCACAGAUGAAAAUGACAAACCUCCCUUGAAACUUGCAGAACAGAGUAAAUUUGUACCUGUCAGCAAAUGAAAACCCUGCAACUAACAGUUCUAGGCUGUUAAGAAUGCUUAGAGGGCAAUUUAUGGAAAUAUGGUGCAGUGUCUGAAGUUAUUUGGAAGUUUGCAGCACUAAGUGAUUUGCUAACCCACCUCAUCUGAAUCUUUCAAUGGUAUGAACUCUUAUCAGCCUGAAGCCUUGGGGACCAUUUCCAGACCCUAUCUUGCUAACUGUGGAUUGCUUUAUCUCCCAGGGGAUUCUCGCUAAAUUGCAAUCAGUGGAUCAUGAGGUGGAGACUGAGGGUGGCUACCUUGAAUUACUUGACUCAAUGGAGCACAAAUCAUAAGAUGAAGAUUUGGGUCAAGAAAUCGUAAUACCUUCGCUCGAAGCAGAUGGUGUCGCUGCUGGUACAGCUUGCCCAUACUGUAAGAAGAAAUAUAUAUGUAAUUCUUGGUUGAUGAAACGUAGCCAAAAUGCAUGACAAAGAGAAUCAUUAUGGAAACACCAUGCAGCAGGCAAGUGGGAGGACUUUAAAUGAAGGGACUUUUCCUGGAGGCACUGAAAAAAGUUGAGAGUGACAUGAUACUUCAGAAGCCAGCCAGGGGCAGGGAUACAGCAAGCAAACCUCAGCAAGUGAGAUGAUACUUCAGAAGUGACAAGUUGUUUAAAGCGUUCUGUAGGCGAAACGACCUUAAACCGUCCUGCAAUUCUAGAAUGGUGGUAUUUAAGAAACUCUAUAACAUGAGUAUAUUAGAAGUUAUGUUCGAGUUCAAUGAAUUUCUUCAGCAUCUUAGAAUAUGCUCUAGUCUUGACCCACAUCUGCUACACAAUCUACUGUCUGUACUUGUAGAGAACAAUCUAACUGCAUGAUCAUGCAGAACAAAGGGUACUCAAGGAACACAUGGAUGGAGAACUGACCACCGAGGAGGAAGAAAAUGUGACAUACAUGACUUGUUAUGUGCAGUUUGCCUGUGUUAGCAGCAGGAGAAAGGAAGUGGGACACUAUAUCAUUUAAAUAUACUGAAUAUACUGAAGUACGUCUUGGAAUCAGGGCAGCAAACCUGGAAACAGCUUUUUCCUGGAUUAAACAAGGUCCUCAUUAGAGGCAGCUUGUUUGUUGUAAAUUAUAAAGAUAACCAAUUUCUUUAGACAGGAUGAUAUUGUUGCUAGAUCAGUGUUUAACAAAGAUUUAUGAGUGUCUUACCAGGGUGAGGCCAUAGCUCACAUUAUAUAUAUGAUAAAUUGAUAGCAUCCGAACUUGUGAAGAAGUGGUGGUGUGGGAGAUCUUCCCAAACUGGAUAUGAUAGCACUAGCUUCUACUUCUUCAAAGCUGUAAUUAAGUACGUGACCCUUAUAAGGGAUGAUGCUUUUGCUAGAUGUUGGAAAAAAAUUGCAGCUGAUUAGCAAAAAAAGUGUAUCAUACAAAAGUAAAGAGAGCUUGAGAGCUACAUUGAGAUUGUAAUGCAUUUUGUUUGCAGUUGGGAGCAGCAGAAAUGAAGUAUAUGAUCUAUUUUUAUAAUGCACCUUGAAAUUGUACUGAUGUUAGUUGAUAUUUGGAAUUCAUUUGUUUUUACUCCAAAACUGUGAUGCUGCUUCUUGAAAACAUAUACAAGUAAACUAAAGUAGUGAAAAGAAUACAAGAUAUUUUAAUACUACAAAUUCAUAUUGAUAUUAUACAUGUACAAAUUUAAAUAAGAUUGGAUUUGUGCAUUUACUGUUUGUAAAAAAAUAAAAAAAGUGAAAUUUCCAAUAAGUUGCACAACUGUCAUUUGCUUCAUUGACUUCAUUCACCAGGCCAACAAUGAAAAAAAAUAAAAAAACAGAACAUUUCUAUUGAGUUCAC